AACGAACGCUGGCGGCGUGGAUAAGACAUGCAAGUCGAGCGGGGUUUCUUUUGGUAGCAAUACCGAAGGAAGUCUAGCGGCGAACGGGUGCUUAACACGUGGGCAACCUGCCAAGAAGUGGGGGAUAGCUCGCCGAAAGGCGAAUUAAUACCGCAUGUGAUUAGAGAGGACAUCCUUUCGAAAUUAAAGUCGGGGCAACCUGACGCUUUUUGUGGGGCCCGCGGCCUAUCAGCUAGUUGGUGAGGUAACGGCCCACCAAGGCUUUGACGGGUAGCUGGUCUGCGAGGACGACCAGCCACACUGGGACUGAGACACGGCCCAGACACCUACGGGUGGCAGCAGUCGAGAAUUUUUGACAAUGGGGGAAACCCUGAUCGAGCGACGCCGCGUGGAGGAUGAAGGUCUUCGGAUUGUAAACUCCUGUCAUUGGGGAACAAGGUGCAUACGUUAACUGCGUGUGCAUUGAUAGUACCCGAAGAGGAAGAGACGGCUAACUCUGUGCCAGCAGCCGCGGUAAGAC
rnacentral:rRNA from 1 species